GGCGCCAAGAAGACCAAUGACAUCACCUCCAUUGCAAGCAAUGGUGGAAGAGUGCAAUGCAUGAAGGUAAGACUACUUAUCAACAUGUUGCUACAAUUAAUUUACAUUCAAAACAAUAUACCCAAAUGCAUGUUGAAGUAACUACUUCACGAGGAACCGAAAUACAUAACUUGUGAAUAUACAAAUGAAUUGUCUGAAUUACAGUCUGAUAACUUAACAUGUCGUAAAAAAAUACAAUUUUUUUCAUAAUCGUAGCAUAUUUACAUACCCACUAUUAACUAUAAUUAAAGAAAAUGUAGUUUAUUUCCAAGCUUACCAAUCCUUUCGUGUGCUUCCUGGCCGCUAAUUAGUAAUAGUUCCUCUAUUUUUUUGGCCAAGAAGGUACUAAUCGAAGUACUAGAACAUCGAUUUAUCGAAUAUUUUGAUUGAUACAGGUGUGGCCUACAGUUGGACUGAAGAAGUUCGAGACUCUCUCCUACCUUCCACCACUCUCUCCUGAGUCUUUGGCCAAGGAAGUAGACUACCUUCUCCGCAAGAACUGGGUUCCCUGCUUGGAAUUUGAGUUGGAGGUUAAUAAUUUCUUUUUAUAAACUUAUUUAUAUAUGUUAGCUUCAUGUAAUAUUUGUUUGCUGACUUAAUUUUCUUGAACAAAAUUGUGGUUUUAUAGAAGGGAUUUGUGUACCGUGAGAACCACAGGUCACCAGGGUACUAUGAUGGAAGGUACUGGACCAUGUGGAAGCUGCCCAUGUUUGGAUGCACAGACUCUUCCCAAGUGUUGAAAGAGCUCGAGGAGGCCAAGAAGGCUAACCCCAACUCUUUCAUCCGUAUCAUCG
rnacentral:lncRNA from 1 species